CAGCCGCCGCGGUAAUACAGAGACUGCAAGCGUUACUCGGAUUCACUGGGCGUAAAGGGAGCGCAGGCGGACUCGUGUGUCGGACGUGAAAUACCGGGGCUUAACCCCGGUGCCGCGUUCGAAACUACGAGUCUAGAGACUUGGAGGGGUAAGCGGAAUUCUUGGUGGAGCAGUGAAAUGCGUAGAUAUCAAGAGGAACACCAACGGCGAAGGCAGCUUACUGGACAAGAUCUGACGCUCAGGCUCGAGAGCGUGGGGAGCAAAAGGGAUUAGAUACCCCUGUAGUCCACGCUGUAAACGGUGCGCAUUAGGUCUUGGAGCUUUCGAACGCUCCAGGGCUCAAGCUAACGCAUUAAAUGCGCCGCCUGAGGGACUACGGCCGCAAGGCUAAAACUCAAAUGAAUUGACGG
rnacentral:rRNA from 1 species